AACGCAAAUUGCGCUCGAGGCCUCGGCCAAGAGCAUGUCUGCCUCAGCGUCGGCUACUACCCUCAACUAAGUUUCCUAUACACAUAGGGGAUGCCGGUUGGAUCUGGCCGUCCGGUUUGCCUUUUAGGUUGCCGGUCAGCUGAAAUACAUUCACGCUCUGGGGGCUGCUUUCCUUCCGAGGAGAGGCGAGUUCCGAUUUGGUAGGUGACCUUUGCCGGUUGCAUGCCUUCGUUGCCCGCUAAGCUUUCCAGUAUGCGUUGUGCAGGACGCCUUUUGGCUUUCGACCUGAGGUCAGGCAAGAACACCCGCUGAACUUAA
rnacentral:misc_RNA from 1 species